UUGGGAGUGGCUUCCGGAGCUAACGCGUUAAGUCGACCGCCUGGGGAGUACGGCCGCAAGGUUAAAACUCAAAUGAAUUGACGGGGGCCCGCACAAGCGGUGGAGCAUGUGGUUUAAUUCGAUGCAACGCGAAGAACCUUACCUGGCCUUGACAUCCACGGAAUUCUGCAGAGAUGCGGAAGUGCCUUCGGGAACCGUGAGACAGGUGCUGCAUGGCUGUCGUCAGCUCGUGUUGUGAAAUGUUGGGUUAAGUCCCGCAACGAGCGCAACCCUUAUCCUUUGUUGCCAGCGAUUCGGUCGGGAACUCAAAGGAGACUGCCGGUGAUAAACCGGAGGAAGGUGGGGAUGACGUCAAGUCAUCAUGGCCCUUACGGCCAGGGCUACACACGUGCUACAAUGGCGCAUACAAAGAGAAGCGACCUCGCGAGAGCAAGCGGACCUCAUAAAGUGCGUCGUAGUCCGGAUCGGAGUCUGAACUCGACUCCGUGAAGCGGAUCGUAGAAUC
rnacentral:rRNA from 1 species